rnacentral:tRNA from 1 species
GGGAAGGUGGCUCAGCGGUAGAGUGCUUGUUUUGCAUGCAUGAGGCCCUGGGUUCAAUUCCUCAUACCA